rnacentral:rRNA from 1 species
AGCGAACGCUGGCGGCAUGCCUAACACAUGCAAGUCGAACGAGUGCCUUCGGGUGCUAGUGGCGCACGGGUGCGUAACGCGUGGGAAUCUGCCCUUUGGUUCGGAAUAACAGUUGGAAACGACUGCUAAUACCGGAUGAUGACGAAAGUCCAAAGAUUUAUCGCCAGAGGAUGAGCCCGCGUAGGAUUAGCUAGUUGGUG